rnacentral:rRNA from 1 species
GAUCAUGGCUCAGGAUGAACGCUAGCUACAGGCUUAACACAUGCAAGUCGAGGGGUAGCACGGAGGAAGCUUGCUUCCUUGGGUGACGACCGGCGCACGGGUGAGUAACGCGUAUCCGACCUACCCAUUACUCGGGCACAGCCGCUCGAAAGAGUGAUUGAUUCCCGAUAUGUCCUUGGAGUAGAUUCAAUGAUGAAAGAUUUAUCGGUAAUGGAUGGGGAUGCGUAAGAUUAGGUAGUAGGCGGGGUAACGGCCCACCUAGCCGACGAUCUUUAGGGGUUCUGAGAGGAAGGUCCCCCACACUGGUACUGAGACACGGACCAGACUCCUACGGGAGGCAGCAGUGAGGAAUAUUGGUCAAUGGGCGGAAGCCUGAACCAGCCAAGUAGCGUGAAGGAUUACAGCCCUACGGGUUUUAAACUUCUUUUAUAUAAGAGUAAUGUGCACUACGUGUAGUGUAUUGCAAGUAUUAUAUGAAUAAGCAUCGGCUAACUCCGUG